rnacentral:rRNA from 1 species
UGGGGUAUAUUGCACAAUGGGCGCAAGCCUGAUGCAGCCAUGCCGCGUGUAUGAAGAAGGCCUUCGGGUUGUAAAGUACUUUCAGCGGGGAGGAAGGCGAUAAGGUUAAUAACCUUGUCGAUUGACGUUACCCGCAGAAGAAGCACCGGCUAACUCCGUGCCAGCAGCCGCGGUAAUACGGAGGGUGCAAGCGUUAAUCGGAAUUACUGGGCGUAAAGCGCACGCAGGCGGUCUGUCAAGUCGGAUGUGAAAUCCCCGGGCUCAACCUGGGAACUGCAUUCGAAACUGGCAGGCUAGAGUCUUGUAGAGGGGGGUAGAAUUCCAGGUGUAGCGGUGAAAUGCGUAGAGAUCUGGAGGAAUACCGGUGGCGAAGGCGGCCCCCUGGACAAAGACUGACGCUCAGGUGCGAAAGCGUGGGGAGCAAACA